UUUCCGUAGGUGAACCUGCGGAAGGAUCAUUACCGAGUUGAUUCGAGCUCCGGCUCGACUCUCCCACCCUCUGUGUACCUUACCUCUGUUGCUUUGGCGGGCCGCGGUCCUCCGCGGCUGGCCCCCCUCGCUGGGGGCUGGCCCGCGCCCGCCAGAGGACUCCAAAACUCCAGUCAGUAAACGUCUCAGUCUGAAAAACAAGUUAAUAAACUAAAACUUUCAACAACGGAUCUCUUGGUUCUGGCAUCGAUGAAGAACGCAGC
rnacentral:misc_RNA from 1 species